CCAGGUGACUGAGCCCCAGGUGACUGAGCCCCAGGGGACUGAGCCCCAGGUGACUGAGCCCCAGGGGACUGAGCCCCAGGUGACUGAGCCCCAGGUGACUGAGCCCCAGGUGACUGAGCCCUAGGUGACUGAGCCCCAGGGGACUGAGCCCCAGGUGACUGAGCCCCAGCUGAGGGAAGAAGUGCAACUGCCAACACCAGAGUCCAAAGGGAUACAUUCUACUAACAAGUAUAUCACAUAAGCAUAUUAUACAGAUAAAACAUCUUAAUUAUCUAUGUUACCCAACUCAUUAUGAUUCAUCCGCCACAGAAGUUUACAUACACUCAAUUAGUAUUUGGUCGCAUUGCCUUUAAAUUGUUUAACUUGAGUCAAACGUUUCAGGUAGCCUUCCACAAGCUUCCCACAAUACGUUGGGUGAAUUUUGGCCCAUUCCUCCUGACAGAGCUGGUGUAACUGAGUCAGGUUUAUAGGCCUCCUUGCUUGCACAUGCUUUUUCAGUUCUGCCCACAAAUUGAGGUCAGGGCUUUGUGAUGGCCACUCCAAUACCUUGACUUUGUUGUCCUUAAGCCAUUUUGCCACAACUUUGGAAGUAUGUUUGGGGUCAUUGUCCAUUUGGAAGACCCAUUUGCGACCAAGCUUUAACUUCCUGACUGAUGUCUUGAGAUGUUGCUUCAAUAUAUCCACAUAAUUUUGCUACCUCAUGAUGCCAUCUAUUUUGUGAAGUGCACCAGUCCCUCCUGCAGCAAAGUACCCCCCACAACAUGAUGCUGCCACCCCCCUGCUUCACGGUUGGGAUGGUGUUCUUCAGCUUGCAAACCUCACCCUUUUUUCUCCAAACAUAACGACAUUAUGGCCAAACAGUUCUAUUUUUGUUUCAUCAGACUAGAAGACACUGCUCCAAAAAGUAAGAUCUUUGUCCCCAUGUGCAGUUGCAAACCGUAGUCUGGCUUUUUUAUGGCGGAAUUGAAGCAGUGGCUUCUUCCUUGCUGAGUGUCCUUUCAGGUUAUGUCGAUAUAGGACUCGUUUUACUGUGGAUAUAGAUACUUUUGUACCCGUUUCCUCCAGCAUCUUCACAAGGUCCUUUGCUGUUGUUCUGGGAUUGAUUUGCACUUUUCGCACCAAAGUACGUUCUUCUCUAAGAGACAGAACGCGUCUCCUUUCUGAGUUGUGUGACGGCUGUGUGGUCCCAUGGUGUUUAUACUUGCGUACUAUUGUUUGUACAGAUGAACAUGGUACCGUCAGGCGUUUGUAAAUUGCUCCCAAGGAUGAACCAGACUUGUGGAGGUAUACAAUUUAUUUUCUGAGGUCUUGGCUGAUUUAUUUAGAUUUUCCUUUGAUGUCAAGCACAGAGGCACUGAGUUUGAAGGUAGGCCUUGAAAUACAUCCACAGGUACACCUUCAAUAGACUAAAAUUAUGUCCAUUAGCCUAUCAGAAGCUUCUAAAGCCAUGACAUCAUUUUCUGGAAUUUUCCAAGCUGUUUAAAGGCACAGUCAACUUAGUGUAUGUAAACUUCUGACCGACUGGAAUUGUGAUACAGUGAAAUAAUCUGUCUGUAAACAACUGUUGGAAAAAUGACUUAUGUCAUGCACAAAGUAGAUGUCCUAACCGACUUGCCAAAACUAUAGUUCAAGGUCAAGGUCCUAAAUGAUAUCUUAACCGCCAUCGAUAAGAAACAUUACUGUGCAGCCGUAUUCAUUGAUCUGGCCAAGGCUUUUGACUCUGUCAAUCACCACAUCCUCAUCGGCAGACUCGACAGCCUUGGUUUCUCAAAUGAUUGCCUCGCCUGGUUCACCAACUACUUCUCUGAUAGAGUUCAGUGUGUCAAAUCGGAGGGUCUGCUGUCCGGACCUCUGGUAGUCUCUAUGGGGGUGCCACAGGGUUAAAUUCUUGGACCGACUCUCUUCUCUGUAUACAUCAAUGAGGUCGCUCUUGCUGCUGGUGAUUCUCUGAUCCACCUCUACGCAGACGACACCAUUCUGUAUACAUCUGGCCCUUCUUUGGACACUGUGUUAACAACCCACCAGACAAGCUUCAAUGCCAUACAACUCUCCUUCCGUGGCCUCCAAUUGCUCUUAAAUACAAGUAAAACUAAAUGCAUGCUCUUCAACCGAUCGCUACCUGCACCUACCCGCCUGUCCAACAUCACUACUCUGGACGGCUCUGACUUAGAAUACGUGGACAACUACAAAUACUUAGGUGUCUGGUUAGACUGUAAACUCUCCUUCCAGACCCAUAUCAAACAUCUCCAAUCCAAAGUUAAAUCUAGAAUUGGCUUCCUAUUUCGCAACAAAGCAUCCUUCACUCAUGCUGCCAAACAUACCCUUGUAAAACUGACCAUCCUACCAAUCCUCGACUUUGGCGAUGUCAUUUACAAAAUAGCCUCCAAUACCCUACUCAAUAAAUAGGAAGCAGUCUAUCACAGUGCAAUCCGAUUUGUCACCAAAGCCCCAUAUACUACCCACCAUUGCGACCUGUACGCUCUCGUUGGCUGGCCCUCGCUUCAUACUCGUCGCCAAACCCACUGGCUCCAUGUCAUCUACAAGACCCUGCUAGGUAAAGUCCCCCCUUAUCUCAGCUCGCUGGUCACCAUAGCAUCUCCCACCUGUAGCACACGCUCCAGCAGGUAUAUCUCUCUAGUCACCCC
ensembl:lncRNA